UCCGGUUGAUCCUGCCGGACCUGACUGCUAUCGGAUUGAUACUAAGCCAUGCGAGUCAUUGUAGCAAUACAAGGCAGACGGCUCAGUAACGCGUAGUCAACCUAACCUAUGGACGGGAAUAACCUCGGGAAACUGAGAAUAAUGCCCGAUAGAACACUAUACCUGGAAUGGUUUGUGUUCCAAAUGAUUUAUCGCCGUAGGAUGGGACUGCGGCCUAUCAGUUUGUUGGUGAGGUAAUGGCCCACCAAGACUAUUACAGGUACGGGCUCUGAGAGGAGUAGCCCGGAGAUGGGUACUGAGACACGGACCCAGGCCCUAUGGGGCGCAGCAGGCGAGAAAACUUUGCAAUGUGCGAAAGCACGACAAGGUUAAUCCGAGUGGUUUCUGCUAAAGGAACCUUUUGUUAGUCCUAGAAACACUAACGAAUAAGGGGUGGGCAAGUUCUGGUGUCAGCCGCCGCGGUAAAACCAGCACCUCAGGUGGUCAGGAUGAUUAUUGGGCCUAAAGCAUCCGUAGCCGGCUCUGUAAGUUUUCGGUUAAAUCUGUACGCUCAACGUACAGGCUGCCGGAAAUACUGCAGAGC
rnacentral:rRNA from 1 species